GAUAGAGGCGCGGGAUCUAUCAGUACUCUGCAGCGGACCGGCAAAGGGAGUCGGGGCGAUGCGCGGAGGAAAGGAGAUCUCGCCGAAGGAUCCUUAUACCCUGGUAUGGAUCCUGGGUCGCCGUAUAACAUGCGGCGGACUGUCACAUUAGUGGAGUGCUAUCC
rnacentral:ncRNA from 1 species